rnacentral:rRNA from 1 species
UACGAAGGGGGCUAGCGUUGUUCGGAAUCACUGGGCGUAAAGCGCACGUAGGCGGACUUUUAAGUCAGGGGUGAAAGCCUGAGGCUCAACCUCAGAACUGCCCUUGAUACUGGGAGUCUUGAGUAUGGUAGAGGUUGGUGGAACAGCAAGUGUAGAGGUGAAAUUCGUAGAUAUUUGCUAGAACACCAGUGGCGAAGGCGGCCAACUGGACCAUAACUGACGCUGAGACGCGAAAGCGUGGGGAGCAAACGGG